rnacentral:misc_RNA from 1 species
GAAGCAUCAACUGAUCACAGCGGCUGUGAAAGAUGGGAAGCUGUACAUUUGCAAGGCACAAGCUGGAGAUAAGAGGUGGUUCAAAGGAGCAAGAAGGUUUGUAGAGAGCACAGCUAGUUCCUUCAGUGUUGCUUAAGGAGAUAUAACCAAGAAAAUUUGCAUGUAAAUCAACUUUUAAUGACGUAUGGUGUUUGUUUUGAGUUAUCUGUCUAGCCCUUCUUUUUUUGCAAUGUUUCAGAGCUAGAGAGUUGGAUAUGGAAGGAGAUUGAUUGUGGAUAUUAUAACAUUUCCUUAAGUUAAUUGUAAUGAGUGGAAAUGUUCUCUCUCUGUUUAUCUUCUUCUUGUUUCCAAGAAAAUGCCCAUAUUAGUUCUUUGAAUUAAUUUGCAAAAUUGCAGAGAAAUGGU